GCCACGAUAGCCGAGCGGUUAGAGGCGUUGACCUAGAAAGCUAAUAUGUAUUGUAGUACUGGGUUCAAUUCCCGGUCUAGGCC
rnacentral:tRNA from 1 species